rnacentral:lncRNA from 1 species
GUGGCUCCUGACGAGGCUGGCUGGGAUCAGCCCUGAUACAAAGACACCAAGGAUUUGGAAAUGAAAAUGCAAGUGGGGGAGAUUGGCAGGCUGCCCUCGGAAGGAGCUGGUCCUAGUUUUGCUCCUUUGAGGAGUUUUGCACCUGAUUAAUGAUUCUGUUCAAGAUGGAUUAAGCUGCUGGAACCUUUCUCCAUUUAGCAGUGCCAGCUCUCUCCUCCUCUUAACGCUUUUUUUUUUUCUCGUCCCAGUCUCCCCCACCCCCAGUUUGUUCUCGGGACAAACCAUCGGUCUAGGAUGAACUCCGUUUUCCACUGGAAGGUCUCAAGAGGCUAAAGGCACCCCACGGGCUUCUCCCCGAGGAAGGGACUGAGGACAGAGGAGGGCCACGGUUGCAAUGAGGACAGCUCCGGCUCAAAAGCGUCCCUGGACCCUUGACUCUCAGCUUGUCUUGUCUUCCUUAAUAAAUUUCAGUUUGCGGGGGAGGGGAGAGGGAUAGCAUUAGGAGAUAUA